UGCCACAGCCAUAUCACACUGCAGCCCAAGACCAGUUACUCACUGAAACCAAGCAGGGCUGAGCCUGGUCAGUACCAGGAUGGGAGACCGCAUGAGAAAAUUAGGUUGCUGUUGGAA
ensembl:rRNA 5S_rRNA 5S ribosomal RNA